CCUACGGGAGGCAGCAGUGAGGAAUAUUGGUCAAUGGGCGUAAGCCUGAACCAGCCAAGCCGCGUGAGGGAUGAAGGUUCUAUGGAUCGUAAACCUCUUUUAUAAGGGAAUAAAGUGCGGGACGUGUCCCGUUUUGUAUGUACCUUAUGAAUAAGGAUCGGCUAACUCCGUGCCAGCAGCCGCGGUAAUACGGAGGAUCCGAGCGUUAUCCGGAUUUAUUGGGUUUAAGGGGUGCGUAGGCGGGGUUUUAAGUCAGCGGUGAAAGUCUGUGGCUCAACCAUAGAAUUGCCGUUGAAAAUGGGAGGCUUGAGUAUGUUAGAGGCAGGCGGAAUGCGGGGUGUAGCGGUGAAAUGCGUAGAUAUCACGAAGAACACCGAUUGCGAAGGCAGCCUGCUAAGCCAUGACUGACGCUGAGGCACGAAAGCGUGGGGAUCAAACAGGAUUAGAUACCCGGGUAGUC
rnacentral:rRNA from 1 species